rnacentral:rRNA from 1 species
CACGUAGGAGGCAAACGUUAUCCGGAUUCACUGGGCGUAAAGCGCGUGUAGGUGGUUCUGUAAGUAGGGCGUGAAAGCUCCCGGCUCAACUGGGAGAGGCCGUACUAAACUGCAGAGCUAGAGGAUGGUAGAGGGAGGUGGAAUUCCAGGUGUAGUGGUGAAAUGCGCAGAUAUCUGGAGGAACACCAGUGGCGAAGGCGGCCUCCUGGACCAUUCCUGACACUCAGACGCGAAAGCUAGGGUAGCAAACGGGAUUAGAUACCCCUGUA